GAAACAGUAAGAAUGCAGUGCUAGAGAAGUCUGCUCAGAUAUAACCCCCAUGGAGUUUAAUGGGGCUUAUUCCCAGGCAGCAAACAGAGGAUCCACUCUCUAAUACAGCCCUCCGAGGUGCAAAGCAACGGCAAAGCUGAUUAAAAAUUUGCAGAGGAUGAGAGGUCUGGCAACAUUGGCUUCCAGUAUCAAUGAGAAGAAGACAAUCCCUGCCCUCAGGCUCGGAAUCAGGAAACAUACAAAAGGCAAAGGAAAUGGAGGAGG